rnacentral:rRNA from 1 species
AUGUUCUGGUGCCUUAGGCAUAGAGGAAACACGCCAAUCCAUCUCGAACUUGGCGGUGAAACUCUAUAGCGGCGAAAAUACUCCAGGGGGGGCCCUGUGGAAACAUAGCUCGGUGCCAGAUA